rnacentral:rRNA from 1 species
UACGUAGGGUGCAAGCGUUGCCCGGAUUUAUUGGGCGUAAAGGGCGCGUAGGCGGCCCGGCAAGUCAUGCGUGAAAGCUCCCGGCUCAACUGGGAGGGUCGUGUGAGACUGCCGGGCUGGAGCACGGUAGGGGUAUGCGGAACUAUCGGUGGAGCGGUGAAAUGCGUUGAUAUCGAUAGGAACUCCGGUGGCGAAGGCGGCAUACUGGACCACAUCUGACGCUGAGGCGCGAAAGCCAGGGGAGCGAACGGG